rnacentral:ncRNA from 1 species
AUUAUAUUUGGUAAAGUGAAUAAUUAAAGGAAUUGUGGGACGAAACGUCUUCAACCUAUUCUCAAACUUUCAAUGAGUAUGACGUCUUGCUUGCGUGAACGAAGCGUAAACACCGAACCGCACACUCCACGUAGGCAAAUUUUGGUAACGAAAGUGGCGUACUGCGGUAAUGUA